CCUACGGGUGGCUGCAGUGGGGAAUAUUGCACAAUGGGGGAAACCCUGAUGCAGCGACGCCGCGUGAAGGAAGAAGUAUUUCGGUAUGUAAACUUCUAUCAGCAGGGAAGAAAAUGACGGUACCUGACUAAGAAGCCGCGGCUAACUACGUGCCAGCAGCCGCGGUAAUACGUAGGGGGCAAGCGUUAUCCGGAUUUACUGGGUGUAAAGGGAGCGUGGGCGGCGAGGCAAGUCAGAAGUGAAGGCCCGGGGCUCAACUCCGGGACUGCUUUUGAAACUGUAUGGCUAGAUUGCAGGAGAGGCAAGUGGAAUUCCUAGUGUAGCGGUGAAAUGCGUAGAUAUUAGGAGGAACACCAGUGGCGAAGGCGGCUUGCUGGACUGUAAAUGACGCUGAGGCUCGAAAGCGUGGGGAGCAAACAGGAUUAGAUACCCUAGUAGUC
rnacentral:rRNA from 1 species